UCCCGUGUGGCUCAGUUGGUAGAGCAUGGUGUUUGCAACACCAGGGUUGUGGGUUCGAUUCCCACGGGGAA
rnacentral:tRNA from 1 species